AUACUGUGGGUGGCGAGUGGCGGACGGGUGAGUAAUGCAUCGGGACCUGCCCAGACGUGGGGGAUAACGUAGGGAAACUUACGCUAAUACCGCAUACGUCCUACGGGAGAAAGCGGGGGAUCGAAAGACCUCGCGCGGUUGGAUGGACCGAUGUUCGAUUAGCUAGUUGGUGAGGUAAUGGCUCACCAAGGCGACGAUCGAUAGCUGGUCUGAGAGGAUGAUCAGCCACACUGGGACUGAGACACGGCCCAGACUCCUACGGGAGGCAGCAGUGGGGAAUAUUGGACAAUGGGCGAAAGCCUGAUCCAGCAAUGCCGCGUGUGUGAAGAAGGCCUUCGGGUUGUAAAGCACUUUUAUCAGGAGCGAAAUACUGCCGGCUAAUACCCGGCGGGGCUGACGGUACCUGAGGAAUAAGCACCGGCUAACUUCGUGCCAGCAGCCGCGGUAAUACGAAGGGUGCAAGCGUUAAUCGGAAUUACUGGGCGUAAAGCGUGCGUAGGCGGUUCUUUAAGUCUGCUGUGAAAUCCCCGGGCUCAACCUGGGAAUGGCAGUGGAUACUGGAGAGCUAGAGUGUGAUAGAGGAUGGUGGAAUUCCCGGUGUAGCGGUGAAAUGCGUAGAGAUCGGGAGGACAUCAGUGGCGAAGGCGGCAUCUGGAUCACACUGACGCUGAGCACGAAGCGGUGGGGAGCAAACAGGAUAAAAUACCUUGUUAGUCCACGCCCUAACGAUGCGACUGAUGUGCUCUCCACUCGAGAUCAGUGUCGAAGCUACGCGUAGUCGCCGGCCUGGGGAGUACGGUCGCCAGACUGAACUCAUGGAUU
rnacentral:rRNA from 1 species